rnacentral:rRNA from 1 species
CCUACGGGAGGCAGCAGUGGGGAAUAUUGCACAAUGGGGGAAACCCUGAUGCAGCGACGCCGCGUGAGUGAAGAAGUAUUUCGGUAUGUAAAGCUCUAUCAGCAGGGAAGAAAAUGACGGUACCUGACUAAGAAGCCCCGGCUAACUACGUGCCAGCAGCCGCGGUAAUACGUAGGGGGCAAGCGUUAUCCGGAUUUACUGGGUGUAAAGGGAGCGUAGACGGCAGCGCAAGUCUGAAGUGAAAUCCCAUGGCUUAACCAUAGAACUGCGUUGAAAACUGUGCAGCUGGAGUGCAGGAGAGGUAGGCGGAAUUCCUAGUGUAGCGGUGAAAUGCGUAGAUAUUAGGAGGAACACCAGUGGCGAAGGCGGCCUGCUGGGCUGUAACUGACGCUGAGGCUCGAAAGCGUGGGGAGCAAACAGGAUUAGAUACCCUAGUAGUC